rnacentral:rRNA from 1 species
GAUGAAUGCUGGCGGCGCGCCUAACACAUGCAAGUCGAGCGGUAACAUGGACUUCGGUCUGAUGACGAGCGGCGGACGGCUGAGUAACGCGUGGGAACAUGCCCCAAAGUGAGGAAUAACUGCCCGAAAGGGUAGCUAAUGCCGCAUAUGAUCUUCGGAUUAAAGGAUUUAUCCGCUUUGGGAGUGGCCCGCGUUCGAUUAGGUAGUUGGUGAGGUAAAGGCUCACCAAGCCUACGAUCGAUAACUGGUCUAAGAGGAUGAUCAGUCAGACUGGAACUGAGACACGGUCCAGACUCCUACGGGAGGCAGCAGUGAGGAAUCUUCCACAAUGGGCGAAAGCCUGAUGGAGCGACGCCGCGUGCAGGAUGAAGGCCUUCGGGUUGUAAACUGCUUUUAUAAGUGAAGAAUAUGACGGUAACUUAUGAAUAAGCACCGGCUAACUACGUGCCAGCCGCCGCAGUA